UCAAGUGAAGCAGGAACAUGACUGUUGCUUGGGAGAAGGAUAUUGAAGGCCUAAACAAGUGACUUCUGUUCUUAAAUGUAGGAUAAUACUGCGGUGGUCAAAAUGUAUUAAUGAAUAGGCAUCACUAGACAAUGUAGAGAUAUCACCUUACAAGUUAACUGGGGAGCUAGGAAUGAAAGAAAAUGAAUGGGAGUGGCAACACAAUGCAUAAAGGAUUAACUGAACAAUUUCCAACUUAUGAUCCUCAUUUCAAGCUUUACUCCUACUGUCUACUCCCACAAAAUAUCCCACAAAAUAUUAAUUUUCCACAUAGUGUCUAGUGCUCCAUUUAUGAUUUAUGUGGACCUAUAAAGAUGAUAUCUUUGAGAAACAGUGGCUUAAAAAUGUAUUGUGACUGUGGAAUGCUGUUUUCCAAUAAAAAUCUUUUUUGAAGGCAUGACAGGUAAAGCUCAUAAAAGUCGGUCCAACAUCUCAGAGGAGAUGUGAUUCUCUUCCUUCUUCCCCUAGCCACUCAGAGGGGAAAGGAGCCAGAACACUGUGAAUGAAAAAUCCCCAAGCUUUAAUGUCUCAUCAAAGGCAUGCAGGAAUCAAAGAACCAGGCUGUGAAUGCAUAAUAAAUGAAUAAUUGUGUUAUUGUCAUUCCAGCAAAUAUUUUUGGAUUAUUAUUUGUGAAGUAUACUCGAUGCUGGAGCUGGAUUAUGCCAGUUAUCUCAUCAGCUGAAGGUACUAUUGGUUUUGCAAACUAUUCUUAAUUCAUU